AACGAACGCUGGCGGCAGGCUUAACACAUGCAAGUCGAGCGCAUCCUUCGGGGUGAGCGGCGGACGGGUGAGUAACGCGUGGGAACGUGCCCUCUUCUACGGAAUAGCCCAGGGAAACUUGGAUUAAUGCCGUAUACGCCCGAAAGGGGAAAGAUUUAUCGGAGGAGGAUCGGCCCGCGUUGGAUUAGGUAGUUGGUGGGGUAAUGGCCUACCAAGCCGACGAUCCAUAGCUGGUUUGAGAGGAUGAUCAGCCACACUGGGACUGAGACACGGCCCAGACUCCUACGGGAGGCAGCAGUGGGGAAUCUUGGACAAUGGGGGAAACCCUGAUCUAGCCAUGCCGCGUGAGCGAUGAAGGCCUUAGGGUUGUAAAGCUCUUUCAGCUGGGAAGAUAAUGACGGUACCAGCAGAAGAAGCCCCGGCUAACUCCGUG
rnacentral:rRNA from 1 species